AAUCCCGUGAACCAUCGAGUCUUUGAACGCAAGUUGCGCCCCAAGCCUUCUGGCCGAGGGCACGUCUGCCUGGGUGUCACAAAUCGUCGUCCCCAUCCUUUGCGGAUAAGGGACGGAAGUUGGUCUCCCGUGUGUUACCGCACGCGGUUGUCCUAAAUCUGAG
rnacentral:rRNA from 1 species